GAUGAACGCUGGCGGCGUGCCUAAUACAUGCAAGUCGAGCGAACAGACGAGGAGCUUGCUCCUCUGACGUUAGCGGCGGACGGGUGAGUAACACGUGGAUAACCUACCUAUAAGACUGGGAUAACUUCGGGAAACCGGAGCUAAUACCGGAUAAUAUAUUGAACCGCAUGGUUCAAUAGUGAAAGACGGUUUUGCUGUCACUUAUAGAUGGAUCCGCGCCGCAUUAGCUAGUUGGUAAGGUAACGGCUUACCAAGGCAACGAUGCGUAGCCGACCUGAGAGGGUGAUCGGCCACACUGGAACUGAGACACGGUCCAGACUCCUACGGGAGGCAGCAGUAGGGAAUCUUCCGCAAUGGGCGAAAGCCUGACGGAGCAACGCCGCGUGAGUGAUGAAGGUCUUCGGAUCGUAAAACUCUGUUAUUAGGGAAGAACAAAUGUGUAAGUAACUAUGCACGUCUUGACGGUACCUAAUCAGAAAGCCACUGCUAACUACGUG
rnacentral:rRNA from 1 species